AUGAGGCACAAGAACAUAGUGCUGCUCCAAGGUUGUUGCUUAGAGAUGGAGGUUCCCUUGUUGGUGUACGAGUUUGUAGAGAAAGGGAGUUUGUAUGAUGUUCUGUUCAAAGGCAAGGAUAAGGACAUUUCAGUGGACACACGCCUGAUGAUUGCUCACGGUUCAGCUGAAGGCUUAACAUAUAUGCAUUCAGCUGUGGAGAAUACCAUCCGUCAUGGUGACGUUAAAUCUGCAAAUAUUCUUCUUGAUGAAAAUUUCACCCCAAAAGUUGCAGACUUUGGGACAUCAAAGUUGAUGGUAAGAGGAAGGGAUGAGAAGGCUGACUUGGUCACGGGAGACAUGGCUUACAUAGAUCCAGAAUACAUGCUUAAUGGGACCGUCACACAGAAGAGUGACGUCUACAGCUUUGGAAUUGUUCUCAUAGAGCUAAUUACAAGGAUGCGCGCAACCUAUGAUGAAAACCGGAGCUAUGUUGCAAACUUUGUUCAAGCUACUCUCGAGAAGAGAUCAAGGGCGCUCUUUGACAAUGAUAUCACUAGCGAGGCCGAUAUUGAGCUUCUGGAGACACUGAGUGAAAUCGUUGUGGAAUGCGUGAAGCCCAAACCAGAAGAACGCCUAGAGAUGAAACAAGUGGAACACCGACUCAGCCAAAUUAAAGGCCAGCAUGCAUAG
rnacentral:rRNA from 1 species